CCGAACGAGUGCAGACAAAAACUGUAUACUUUGGUACCGUUUGGUCGUAGCGAGAAAAGUGCAGCGUCUUCUCAGCGUGGUCUGGGAAAUCUGGUGGUGCAAAUCGAUCUCUGUCUCCUCAAAAGAGUCCCAGACGGUGCUGCUAAAAAGCCACUAACACAUAGCGCCUCUGCCACGAAGGACAAACAGAGUGAAGCGAUGAGACACCUGUAUGUCUCUGAUGGCAAAAGAAAACGCAAGAUGGAGAAUGGUGCCUCGAACAGAGAAAGCAAAAGGAGUGUCACUUAUGCAAAUGAUCCUUCAUGUCCUGCAAAUGACAAUCACAUUGUGACUGAAACAACACACAAUGGGUAAGAUUACACAUAAAAUAUUGUUCAAAUGUUCAGUAUA
rnacentral:lncRNA from 1 species